AGUUAGCUUAUAAAAUGUAAAGACAUUUCAGAAAUUUAUGUGAAUUUGACAUAUAAACAGUUAAUAUGAAAUUAUUGUAUCAUUAAAACAUCUAGGAUAUCCCCAUAUACAGUGAAUGCCUACAAAAAACAAAACAUGGAUAUUAGUUGUUAUAAGGGGAUUUUCUAAUCGAAAUCAAUUCUAAUUCCCCCUAGAGUACUCUAUUACUUAUUCAUACAAUCAGUGGGAUUCCUGGCAUAUAAAUGAAAAAAACCCUAAAAAAUACCCAUAAUAAUUGGGGAAAAUAUGUUAAAAGCAACAAACAAAUGAUUUAAAUAUCCCAACUUGGAAUUUUUUUAUUAUGAGUUAUGCAAAAUGAAAGUAAGUUUAAGUUUGUAUUGCUUACGAGAAAAAAAUUUUUGAGAUAGGGCGGAAAUUACAGAAAGUAUAAGCUGGAGUAUGAGUCACCUUCAUCAGAUUUAUAAAAGGGUCUUCGUCACUUUGCUGCUGGCUUCUCAAAACGUCUCACAGGAGUCAACAGGACUGGGUGUUACAACUCAUUUUGGAUGGUUUGUUUUUAUCAAAACUUUCUGUUAAAUUGAAAGACCCCAGUGAAGCCCUAAGUAGAUCGUUCAGAUGUGGCAGGAAACAAAGGAAGUUAGUGGUAUCCUUGUACUGAACAUGUGUGCGUACCUUCUUCGUUCAUGCUUAAGAGGAAGCCUGCUCAGGUAUGUGGUUUAUAUAUAUAUAUAUAUAUUUCUAUUUAUUUUUUUUUCAUCACUGGGAUCUUUGUGCAAAUGUGCAAUUUAGGAAAUGGAACACAGGCCCGAUUUAAUUAAAGGAUAUAUUUUCUGCCUCUACGGCAUUAUUAAGUACAGAGAAAAC